GAUGAACGCUGGCGGCGUGCCUAAUACAUGCAAGUCGAGCGAACAGACGAGGAGCUUGCUCCUCUGACGUUAGCGGCGGACGGGUGAGUAACACGUGGAUAACCUACCUAUAAGACUGGGAUAACUUCGGGAAACCGGAGCUAAUACCGGAUAAUAUAUUGAACCGCAUGGUUCAAUAGUGAAAGACGGUUUUGCUGUCACUUAUAGAUGGAUCCGCGCCGCAUUAGCUAGUUGGUAAGGUAACGGCUUACCAAGGCAACGAUGCGUAGCCGACCUGAGAGGGUGAUCGGCCACACUGGAACUGAGACACGGUCCAGACUCCUACGGGAGGCAGCAGUAGGGAAUCUUCCGCAAUGGGCGAAAGCUUGACGGAGCAACGCCGCGUGAGUGAUGAAGGGCGUCGGAUCGUAAAACUCUGUUAUUAGGGAAGAACAAAUGUGUAAGUAACUAUGCACGUCUUGACGGUACCUAAUCAGAAAGCCACGGCUAACUACGUG
rnacentral:rRNA from 1 species